ensembl:miRNA Gm54366 predicted gene, 25252
GUGGUUUCCCAAGCAGCAUUUGAUACUGAAAACGUGGAUUUUCCUCUACGAUUAGUCAUUAAUAUUGUACUCAUAGAAGGAGAAUCUACCUUUUAAAUAUCAAAGAACAACUCGAUCCAG